rnacentral:rRNA from 1 species
AUUGAACGCUGGCGGCAUGCCUUACACAUGCAAGUCGAACGGCAGCACGGGAGCAAUCCUGGUGGCGAGUGGCGAACGGGUGAGUAAUAUAUCGGAACGUGCCCGGUCGUGGGGAUAACGUAGCGAAAGCUACGCUAAUACCGCAUACGAUCUACGGAUGAAAGCGGGGGAUCGCAAGACCUCGCGCGAUUGGAGCGGCCGAUAUCAGAUUAGGUAGUUGGUGAGGUAAAGGCUCACCAAGCCGACGAUCUGUAGCUGGUCUGAGAGGACGACCAGCCACACUGGGACUGAGACACAGCCCAGACUCCUACGGGAGGCAGCAGUGGGGAAUUUUUGGACAAUGGGCGCAAGCCUGAUCCAGCAAUGCCGCGUGCAGGAUGAAGGCCUUCGG